rfam:Ixodes scapularis strain Wikel colony gcontig_1108378637912, whole genome shotgun sequence.
UCCUGGUUAGCUCAGCUGGUUGAGCACCCCACUGGAAAUGGAGAGGUCUCUGGUUCCAUACCAGGAACAGGCG